CAUAUCCUCAAUGGAGUCCAAUAAAUCUACAACAUGGGACGGUGGAGUGAUUGAUUUCAGAUGUUUGAGCACAUACUCUUCACACUGGCCAACUGCAUCCAGAAGAUUGUUUAUUUUAUUGAUCAAAGUUGAAUUAUUAUUAUGAAGGUGACACCAGGAGAGCAAAGCACUAAACAAAAAUAUAAACAAGGGUUAAAUAGCAAAAUAGGACUUAAAAAUAUAAGACUGUUUAUCAAUUGGACUUAAUCAUAAAACUGUUUAUAAUUCAUAACCCCUCUUUCACAACUCUAUAUACACUUUUCCUGAUUUUAUACUUUUCUCUUAUGACUACGUAAUAUCUGUUGAAGAUGAAUACAACUCCAAGAAAGAAAAAUUAGUUUCUUCUUUAAGGACAUUAAACAGCUUCUAAACUAGCAAUUCUCAAUCAUGGAUGCACAUUAGAAACACCUGAAGAGCUCUGCAACCUAUCAGGGCCCAGAUUAUACUCCAGACCAAUUAAAUCAGAAUCUCUGGGGGUAUCUUUUUUUUAAAGUUUCAGAGUUUAUUUCAAGGUGCAACCAAAGUUGAAAACCAUUGUUCUAAGCAUAUAGUUGCUUGCCAUCAAGAAUGAAGGUUAGAGAAAAAAAGUUUUAAAGAGACUUCACUUUCCUGGGCUUAUGUCACAGAGUAGACAUUGUUUGCUGAACUACUAACAAUUUCUUUGAAAAAGGUAAAAAUGCUUCCAGUCCUAACAGAUUUAAUAUCAGCCAUGUCAUAAAAUAAUGGUUAUGAAAAGUAUUUAAAAAUAGAAUCCACUGAUAGAAAAGAUUCAGCAGUAGCUUUCUAAGGUUAUAUAACAUUAACUUGAUGAUGUGAAUAUUCACAUUGACUAUUUUCCUACUGUAGCAGACUAAAUUCUGGUUCCUAAUGUUGGAUUUUCUAAAACGCCAAACACAAUAAAUUUUUCGGUUUUGUUUUGUUAACUUUUAUCAUCUACUCUUCUUUAAAAUGAGUGCUUCUUUGAAGCAUUUCUUUUUUCUCUACCAAGAGCAGUUUAAAGGGUAUAAAACAAGGGUGUCCAAUCUUUUGGUUUCCCUGGGCCUCACUGGAAGAACUGUCUUGUGCCACAGAUAACAUACACUAACACUAAUGAUAGCUAAUGACUCAAAAAGAAAAAGAAAAUAAUCAUGAAAAAAAUCUCAUAAUGCUCAUAAUGUUUUAAGAAAGUUUAUGAAUUUGUGUUGGGCCAUAUUCAAAGCUGUCCUGGGCCACAUGUGAUAUGCCGGCCACUGGUUGGACAAGCUUGGUGUAAAGCAUCAAAGAGGACAAGGCUGCUAGGCUCCUGGCUCUGUGUAUCAUUUGACCACUUGGCUCUGAUAUAUGCCAUUAUUGCAAUGGUAUCCUGACAAGUAUUCAAUGUUCAGGACUAAAGUAAAUGAAAUCAAUUUUCUCUUAAUUACCAACUAUUUUCAUUAUGUACUUCUAGUCUAGAGGUCUGUCAUAUUGUGUGGAAGUAUUAAAAGUUUUAUUCAAAAUCUGAAGACCUUUUAAUGAGAUAGAUAAUCGUUCAGGUAGCAGAAGUAUACAUCUUCUUACCAUUUCUUUGCACGAAAGGACAAUAUGUAGUUCACAUAUUAAAGUGGAUGAGCUGAUAACGAUUUUGACUUUUUGAAGGCAAUAUAAUUCUAUGUUCUGUGACACACUUUAGCAUAUUUAGCACAAGGAAAAGCACUUCAGUUUAAACACUUUAUUUUUACAGAAACAUCCUCCGGUAGUAUUGAGGUUAAAAUGAUCCAGGAUUUAGACUUUAAAAAUUACCUUAAUGUUCCUCGGAGUCGUCCAUAGUUUAAAAUGACUUCUGCGCCUUCCUUAUAACCUUGAUUGAAGCCCUGUUGAAGAGUAACUGCUUUUCCAGCAUCUAUUCCAUCUCUAUAACCUUCCUAAAAAUAAGUAAUGGAGAACUGCAGCUGUAACUAACACCGAGUAUACCACAUGUAGGCUUUUCUAGAAAAGUACAGAACCAAUUUAGAAAGCUGAUGAGUUAGGCCUUUACUGUGUUACUGACCAUAAUAUGGCAUAACAAUAUAACUAAAGCAGACUAUGCUUCUCCUAAGUUUAUUAUUGGUUUAUCAUUACUUAUCCACUUUUGAAGUCUAGAGUUACUGGGCAAUUUUCAAAACACUGAUAAUCACAGUUUUUAAAAAACUUAGUAUUGGGCCUCCACUUUUGCUGUGAGGUAGGCAAGUGGCAGACAUGGCACCUUCCAGGAGUCUUGUAGUUCCCCUGGCAGUCCUGGUACUGUUGCUUUGGGGUGCUUCCUGGACCCACAGGCAGCAGAGCAACAUACGUAUCAUCAUGGACGAGAACUGGACAGAGCUGCUGGAAGGAGACUGGAUGAUAGAAUUUUAUGCCCUGUGGUGCCCUGCUUGUCAAAACCUUCAACCGGAAUGCGAAAGUUUUGCUGAAUGGGGAGAAUAUCUGAGGUUAAUGUUGUGAAAGUAGAUGUCACAGAGCAGUCAGGACUGACUGAACAGUUUACAAUAACUGCUCUUCCUACUAUUUAUGAUUGUAAAGAUAGUGAAUUUAGGCACUUUCAGGGUCCAAGGACUAAGAAGGACUUCAUAAACUUUUUAAGUGAUAAACAGUGGAAGAGUAUUGAACCCAUUUCAUCAUGGUUUGGUCCAGGUUCUGUUCAGAUGAGUAGGAUGUCAGCACUCUUUCAGCUAUCUAUGUGGAUCAGGACUUGCCAUAACUACUUUAUUGAAGACCUUGGAUUGCCAGUGUGGGGAUCAUAUACUGUUUUUCCUUUAGCAACUCUGCAUUCUGGACUGUUAUUAGAACUCUGUAUGAUAUUUGUGGCAGAUUGCCUUUGUCCUUCAAAAAGGCACAGACCACAGCUAUACCCUUCAAAAAAAUUAUCAGAAUCUGCUCAACCUUUGAAAAAACUGGAGGAAGAACGAGAGGCGGAUGAAAAAGAUGUUUCAGAAGAAGCCAAAAGAAAAGAAGGAACAAAGACUUUCACAGAAUGCCAUAAGACAAUGCUCUCUGGGUCCAUCACUGGCCACAGAUAAAUCCUAGUUAAAUUGUAUAGUUAUCUUAAUAUCAUGAUUUUGAUAAAAACAGAAGACUAAUUAUUCCUUUUGGUUUGAAGUGAACUGUGACUUGCUUGUAUAUUACAGGGUUCAGUCUAGAUUGUCAUUAAAUUGAAGACUCUACAUUCAGAACAUAAAAGCACUAGGUAUGUAAGUUUGAAAUAUGAUUUAAGCACAGUAUGGGGUUUAAAUAGUUCUCUAAUUUUUGAAAAAUCAUGCCAAACAAUAAGAUUUAUGUAUAUUUGUUUAAUAAUAACCUGUUUCAAGUCUGAGUUUUGAAAAUGUACAUUUCCCAAGUAUUGCAUUAUUGGGGUAUUUAAGAUUAUUUUAGAGAAAAAUAUUUCUCAUUUGAUGUAAUUUUUCUCAGUUUCAUGUAUGUGAAAAAAGGAAGAUAUUUCCCAUAAACGGGAACUUUGCCCACUGUCUCAAGAAAUAUAUAUUUCAGUGACAAUUCAGUCGUCUUUUUAGAGAUAUAUUCCAAAAUUUCCUCAUAUUUUUAGGUUAUGCAACUAAUAAAAACUAUCUUACAUUAAUUAGUUAUAGUUUUCUACACAUGGUGAUAUAGGAUAAGCUAAUGAUUUAGGAAGUUUUUAAGUCCAUGGUAUUCUCUUGAUUCCAAUAAAUGAUUUUCUCUUGUAUUUUUCUUAUUUACUAUGGGUUACAUUUUUUAUUUUUCAAAUUGGAUAAUUUCCUGGAAGUGUUUUUUAUGUUUUAGUAAACAGUAUUUUUUGUUGUUGUUUCAAACUGAAGUUUAGUGAGAGAUCCAUCAAAUUGAACUGUCUGUUGAAAAUUUAAAAUUUUGGGCAUUCAUUUCAUAUUUUAAAUCAUUCUUGCUGAACUUCUACUUGAAUUUUUUUUUUUUUAAUUUUUCUUUUUGGAUGUGAAGGUGAACAUUCCUGAUUUUUGUCUGAUGUGGAAAAGCCCUGGUAGUUUACAUUUUGAAAAUUCACAGAAGCUUAAUAUAAAACAAAGUUUGCAUUCUACUCAGGAAAAAAAUCUUCUUGUAUAUGUUUUAAAUGUAUCUUUGGCCUCAUACAGAAAGUUCUUACUUAAUUUCACAGUCUGUAAUGCUUGAUGUUUUAAAAUCAUAACUAUAUAUAUAUAUAUAUUUACUAUUAUUAUUAUUUUCUGAGAUGGAGUCUCGCUCUGUCACCCAGGCUGGAGUGCAGUGGCUUAAUCUUAGCUCACUGCAACCCCCACCUCCCAGGUUCAAGUGAUUCUUCUGCCUCAGCCUCCCAAGUAGCUGGGACUAUAGGCGCAUGCCACCACGGCCAGCUAAUUUUUGUAUUUUUAGUAGAGAUGGGUUUCACCAUACAUUUUUAUAUUUUUUAAGAGACAAACUUCAUAUUUUCCUGUUCUUUCCUGACUACUAAUAUUGUGUGGUAUCUCACAGGUAGAAAUCAACAGGAUGGGACAUUUAGUGUAUUUUUACUCCUUAAAGAGCUAGAAUACAUAGUUUUGACCUUACAAGAAGGAGGAAAACCAUAAAUACAAUGAAUCAACUGACCAUUAUGUAGUAGACAAUUUCUGUAACGUCUCUUUCUUUCUAGGCUCUGUUGGUAGGUGAAUCAAUUGGAUUUAUAGUAGAAUAAUGUACAAGUUUUCUUUAAAGGCCUCUCCUUUAGAAUAUAAAAUAUUAUAUCAUUGAAGAGUU